rnacentral:rRNA from 1 species
GACGUAGGCAGCGAGCGUUGUUCGGAAUUACUGGGCGUAAAGAGUGUGUAGGCGGUGCUCCCAGUCUGUUGUGAAAUCUCCCGGCUUAACUGGGAGGGUGCAGCGGAAACUAGAGUGCUAGAGGGUGGGAGAGGUAAGCGGAAUUCCUGGUGUAGCGGUGAAAUGCGUAGAUAUCAGGAGGAACACCUGUGGUGUAGACAGCUUACUGGACCACUUCUGACGCUGAGACACGAAAGCGUGGGUAGCAAACAGG